rnacentral:tRNA from 3 species
GGGCAACUAGCUCAGUUGGUUAGAGCGUCUCGUUUACACCGAGAAGGUCGGGGGUUCGACUCCCUCGUUGCCCACCA